AUUGAACGCUGGCGGAAUGCUUUACACAUGCAAGUCGGGCGGCAGCGCGGGAGCAAUCCUGGCGGCGAGUGGCGAACGGGUGAGUAAUAUAUCGGAACGUGCCCAGUAGUGGGGGAUAGCCCGGCGAAAGCCGGAUUAAUACCGCAUGCGCCCUACGGGGGAAAGCCGGGGACCGCAAGGCCUGGCGCGAUUGGAUGAGCCCAUGUUCGAUUAGCUAGUUGGCGGGUAAAGGCCACCAAGGCGACGAUCGAUAGCUGGUCUGAGAGGAUGAUCAGCCACACUGGAACUGAGACACGGUCCAGACUCCUACGGGAGGCAGCAGUAGGGAAUAUUGGACAAUGGGGGCAACCCUGAUCCAGCCAUGCCGCGUGAGUGAAGAAGGCCCUCGGGUUGUAAAGCUCUUUUGUCCGGAAAGAAAGCAAUCGGUUAAUACCCGGUUGUUCUGACGGUACCGGAAGAAUAAGCACGGCUAACUUCGUGCCAGCAGCCG
rnacentral:rRNA from 1 species